GGCAUAGCUCAGUUGGUAGAGCACAGGUCUCCAAAACCUGGUGUCGGGGGUUCGAAUCCCUCUGCC
rnacentral:tRNA from 1 species